AUGGUGUCAAACUUUUAUCCUUAAAAAGUUCUUGAACAGCAGCCUCCGUGUUCCUUUCAUGACAGGUACACUUUAAUAUAAGCAAUGCAUUUUGCAGGCACCACUGAAUCCCAGCUGAUGAGGACAUCUAAUGCCUAUUAUCUACUUUGCUGCAGGUGGAGGAGCAGGUCCAUGGCGUGACGCCAGAAAAAUGCCAGGAAGCGCUGCGUUUCUUCGGAGGGGACGUGACACGGGCCGUCCACCACUUAAAGGUAGUUCAGCUGUACAACGUGACGCGGUACAGUAAGGAGGAGUGCCGCCAAAUCCUGGAGAAGUUCAACUGGAACCUGGAAGCUGCUUCCCUCCAUAUCAUAUACAUAGCAAACCUUGCUAAAUAGACUUCAUGAAGGUUCUUCCCUUCGAGGAGAAUUCCUGCCUGCCUAGGAUGGUGCCAGAGGACGUGUCUUCAAUCACCGACCGGCCACCGCUUUGAGACCUGCUGGUUUUUAACACAUUAUUUUCCCUUCCUAAUGGAGAUUUGUCUUUUAGCUGCACCCAGAAACACUCACCGCCCUGACGACGGUGACAAUGAGACUUCCACUCCAUUGAUCUGCUUGUUGCUAUUUUAUUGGCUCAGUUGCGUAAGGGAAGAGGAUUUGGGGUACAAAGGGCCA